rnacentral:rRNA from 1 species
UACGAAGGGGACUAGCGUUGUUCGGAAUCACUGGGCGUAAAGCGCACGUAGGCGGAUUCGUAAGUCAGGGGUGAAAUCCCGGGGCUCAACCUCGGAACUGCCUUUGAUACUGCGGGUCUUGAGUCCGAUAGAGGUGGGUGGAAUUCCUAGUGUAGAGGUGAAAUUCGUAGAUAUUAGGAAGAACACCAGUGGCGAAGGCGGCUCACUGGCCCGGUACUGACGCUGAGGCGCGAAAGCGUGGGGAGCAAACAGG